GACGAACGCUGGCGGCGUGCUUAACACAUGCCAGUCGAACGGAAAGGCCCUGCUUUUGUGGGGUGCUCGAGUGGCGAACGGGUGAGUAACACGUGAGUAACCUGCCCUUGACUUUGGGAUAACUUCAGGAAACUGGGGCUAAUACCGGAUAGGAGCUCCUGCUGCAUGGUGGGGGUUGGAAAGUCUCGGCGGUUGGGGAUGGACUCGCGGCUUAUCAGCUUGUUGGUGGGGUAGUGGCUUACCAAGGCUUUGACGGGUAGCCGGCCUGAGAGGGUGACCGGCCACAUUGGGACUGAGAUACGGCCCAGACUCCUACGGGAGGCAGCAGUGGGGAAUAUUGCACAAUGGGCGGAAGCCUGAUGCAGCAACGCCGCGUGCGGGAUGACGGCCUUCGGGUUGUAAACCGCUUUCGCCUGUGACGAAGCGUGAGUGACGGUAAUGGGUAAAGAAGCACCGGCUAACUACGUG
rnacentral:rRNA from 1 species